GACAGAGGGUGCAAACGUUGUUCGGAAUUACUGGGCGUAAAGCGCGUGUAGGCGGCCCGGAAAGUUGGAUGUGAAAGCCCUGGGCUUAACCUAGGAAGUGCAUUCAAAACUGCCGGGCUUGAGUUCUGGAGAGGAAGGCGGAAUUCUCGGUGUAGAGGUGAAAUUCGUAGAUAUCGAGAGGAACACCUGCGGCGAAGGCGGGUUGCUGGGCCGACACUGACGCUGAUGCGCGAAAGCCAGGGGAGCGAACGGG
rnacentral:rRNA from 1 species